rnacentral:sRNA from 1 species
GCUGGGUGCAGUGGCCCACACCUGUGAUCCUAGCAUCUUGGGAGGCUGAGUCAGGAGGGUCGUGAGUUCAAAGCCAGCCUCGGCAAAAGCGAGGCACUAAGGAACUCAGUGGGACCCUGUCUCUA